GAUGAAGAACGCAGCGAAAUGCGAUAUGUAGUGUGAAUUGCAGAAAUCAGUGAAUCGUCGAAUCUUUGAACGCACAUUGCGCCCCUUGGUAUCCCGAGGGGCAUGCCUGUUCGAGCGUCAUUUCACCACUCAAGCCUGGCUUGGUGUUGGGCGACGUCCCCUUUGGGGACGCGCCUCGAAACGCUCGGCGGCGUGGCACCGGCUUUAAGCGUAGCAGAAUCUUUCGCUUUGGAAGUCGGGGCCCCGUCUGCCGGAAGACCUACUCGCAAGGUUGACCUCGGAUCAGGCAGGGAUACCCGCUGAACUUAAGCAUAUCAAUAAGCGGAGGA
rnacentral:misc_RNA from 1 species